GACGGAGGGUGCUAGCGUUGUUCGGAAUUACUGGGCGUAAAGGGCGCGUAGGCGGCUACGGCAGUCGGGUGUGAAAGCCCGGGGCUCAACCCCGGAACGGCAUCCGAUACUCUGUGGCUAGAGACCGGAAGAGGUGGGUGGAAUACCCAGUGUAGAGGUGGAAUUCGUAGAUAUUGGGUGGAACACCGGUGGCGAAAGCGGCUCACUGGUCCGGUUCUGACGCUGAGGCGCGAAAGCGUGGGGAGCAAACAGG
rnacentral:rRNA from 1 species